rnacentral:pre_miRNA from 1 species
UUGCACUCAAAGAUUUCACCAGCCAGGCUCCUGGCUAAAAUCCAGCUCUAAGCUGGAUUUUAGCCUAAGCCUGGCUGUAAACAGCCCCAG